UACGAAGGGGGCUAGCGUUGCUCGGAAUCACUGGGCGUAAAGCGCACGUAGGCGGAUUGCUAAGUCAGGGGUGAAAUCCUGGAGCUCAACUCCAGAACUGCCUUUGAUACUGGUGAUCCUGAGUCCGGGAGAGGUGAGUGGAACUGCGAGUGUAGAGGUGAAAUUCGUAGAUAUUCGCAAGAACACCAGUGGCGAAGGCGGCUCACUGGACGACUGUUGACGCUGAGGUACGAAAGCGUGGGGAGCAAACAGG
rnacentral:rRNA from 1 species